rnacentral:lncRNA from 1 species
GCCUUGAAGCUAAAGUUGUCUUAGUGUGACCUAUAAGUCACAGGUUAGAACCAUGGAGCCAACUACUAAUGCUUGCAUUAAGUUAGGCUGUCUACAUCACCACCUCUUGGGGGUGCGGCCGUUCCCUAAACCCUGUGUUAAUGCAGGAUAUUUUGUGCACCGAGAAGAACAGAUGGUACUCUUCCAGUAAGAAAUGAAAAUAGAACCCUCCAAGCUAGGAACUGCGAACCUAUCAAGUAAACUGUUGUCCUGCAAUUGCACCAAAUCUGGUCAACCAAUCUGCGACUUGAUUUACCUCACGAAAGCAGUGAAGGGACUGUAUUUGCCGCUUCUGCAUAACAGCAUUAUGUGUCCAACAACUUGCCUAAUCUUCCAAGUAACUCGCCAUUGUCGUCUGGUGAUACUGACCAUGAUCA